GGAAUAUCCUUGUUUUUCGAAAGAAAAUAAAAAAGUUUUUCCAAUAAAAUAACAUCAAAUCUAUCAGAAAUACAGAGUAGACAUUGUUAAUGUUGUAAAUGACAAUUGUAGCAAAGCACAGCUCCAAACUAUGCAAGAACUACUUAGGGAAGCAGUGAGCUGAUAUGCUGUCUGUAUUGGAGUGGCCAGCACAGUCACUGGAUCUCACCCCUAUUGAGCUGUUGUGGGAGCAGCUUGACCGUACGCUACGUCAGAAGUGCCCAUCAAGCCAAUCCGACUUGUGGAAGGAGCUUCAGGAAGCUUGUAGUGAAAUCUCUUCAGAUUACCUCAACAAAUUGACAACUAGAAUACCAAAGGUCUGCAAGGCUGUAACUGCUACAAACGGAGGAUUCUUUGACGGAUGCAAAGUUUGAAGGACGCAAUUAUUAUUUAAAUCAAAAAAAGAUUAUUACUUACCUUGCAAAUUACUAUAUUUCCUAUUCAUGUUGCUAGACUUUUGUUCAUGAAUGUUUUCAUGGAACUCAAGGAAGUUUUUGAGUGACCCCAAACAUUUGAACGGUAGUGUACAUUUAGUAUAAUUUAUAUGCACUGCCAUUGCCUAUCAAAAGACGUCUACUGUUUGUUACAUGGUUGUGCAACGCUUACGUUUUCUUUACAGAUUUCCCUGACACCAUUGUUGAACCCUAACGUGCGAAGCUGACAAGGCUAUCAGUUUAAAACCUUUUGACAAAAAAAAUUGCCAAUUAAAUUUUUCAAUCAAUUGUUCCGGGUAAAAAUACAAUUAGCGUUGCAAAUUCAAAUGGUUGGUUGACGUCUCGAAAUGCCCCAGAAAUCCUGACGCGCGCUGCCGUGUAACGCCCUGGGUCUCUGGGGAAGAGCCUGGCAGAAGCGUAAUCCCUCGGUUGCCGGUGUUGUUGUUUUUUUUAAUGUUAUCUCGGGCUGUAAUGUUGGCACCAUUGUUCCCAUGUUAUGUGUGGUGACUGGUUAUUGCACACGUGUCCAUUGGAAUACUACAUUAAGAUGUGCUCAUGUUUCCCAUGUACUUUGCUGCAGUAUCAUGAUUUAUGGUGAGGUGUCGCGUGUUCUGUUCGACAGAUAUUUUUUACAAAAUUAUUAAAAUGAGC
ensembl:lncRNA